rnacentral:rRNA from 1 species
CAGGAUUAGAUACCCUGGUAGUNCACGCCGUAAACGAUGUCGACUUGGAGGUUGUGCCCUUGAGGCGUGGCUUCCGGAGCUAACGCGUUAAGUCGACCGCCUGGGGAGUACGGCCGCAAGGUUAAAACUCAAAUGAAUUGACGGGGGCCCGCACAAGCGGUGGAGCAUGUGGUUUAAUUCGAUGCAACGCGAAGAACCUUACCUACUCUUGACAUCCAGAGAACUUAGCAGAGAUGCUUUGGUGCCUUCGGGAACUCUGAGACAGGUGCUGCAUGGCUGUCGUCAGCUCGUGUUGUGAAAUGUUGGGUUAAGUCCCGCAACGAGCGCAACCCUUAUCCUUUGUUGCCAGCGGUCCGGCCGGGAACUCAAAGGAGACUGCCAGUGAUAAACUGGAGGAAGGUGGGGAUGACGUCAAGUCAUCAUGGCCCUUACGAGUAGGGCUACACACGUGCUACAAUGGCGCAUACAAAGAGAAGCGACCUCGCGAGAGCAAGCGGACCUCAUAAAGUGCGUCGUAGUCCGGAUUGGAGUCUGCAACUCGACUCCAUGAAGUCGGAAUCGCUAGUAAUCGUAGAUCAGAAUGCUACGGUGAAUACGUUCCCGGGCCUUGUACACACCGCCCGUCACACCAUGGGAGUGGGUUGCAAAAGAAGUAGGUAGCUUAACCUUCGGGAGGGCGCUUACCACUUUGUGAUUCAUGANNGGGGUGAAGUCGUAACAAGGUA